rnacentral:lncRNA from 1 species
AAACAUGUCUACCAGGUGAGUAUUGACAUGUAACAUCUUCGUCAUUGUACUCACUCAUUUUUGCAGUUUCAGUUUUAUGGUGUUCUAUUGAAUCAACCAAAUUUAUUUGACCUGGCCUGUUGGUCAUCUUGCUAUGCCUGCCGUUGAUUGGUGUGGUUGUUAAUGAGUGCGAGCAAAGCAUUUCUGUAGCAUGUACUAAAAAUUAACAUGGAGAAACGUAAUGGUGCUGUGUAGUAUUGUCAUGUAACAUCUUCGUCAUUGUACUCACUCAUUUUUGCAGUUUCAGUUUUAUGGUGUUCUAUUGAAUCAACCAAAUUUAUUUGACCUGGCCUGUUGGUCAUCUUGCUAUGCCUGCUGUUGAUUGGUGUGGUUGUUAAUGAGUGCGAGCAAAGCAUUGCUGUAGCAUGUACUAAAAAAUAACAUGGAGAUACGUGAUGGUACUGUGUAGCACAAGUAUCAUAGUUAGUCAUGCUGGGAAAUCUGAAGUUCUGAACUAUGCCCAAGUCAUGUUGGGAAAUCUGAAGUUCUGAACUAUGCC